CAACGUUUGAACCGUUUCCUCGGGUCGUCGGUAGUGUGAGAAAACUGAAUUACUGCUGAAGCCUGGAUGAUAAAACAAGCUGUGGGGCCGCUUUUUUGUCGAACACGAGUGAGGCUGGACGCUGAUCACACUGCGGCGCGAAGGUGUCACCACUUGGUCCACGACAUUCUCCACGAUCACAGAGACAUCGUCAGAGAUCGGAGAGACAUUGUUGAGGAUGAGGGAGACAUCGUCCACGAUCAGAGACGUCGUCUGUGAUCACAGAGACCUUGUCAAAGACGAGAGAGACGUUGUCCAUGAUCAGAGACAUUGUCCCAUGCUUCGUAGAGCUCUGCGCAAGAGUCGGUAGUGACACUGUGGUUCCUCGAUUCGACGGCAUGACCGCGAUCAUGGAAACAUUGUCAAAGAUCACAGAGACAGCGUCUAUGAUCUCAGAGACAUCGUCCACGAUCACAAAGACAUUGUCCAUGAUCACAGAGACUUUGUCCAUAAUCUCAGAGACAUUGUCCGCGAUCUCAGAGACGUAGUCCACGAUCAGAGUCUUCGUACAGUGAAGAAGUUUUUCGAGACCAGGACAGAGGCCUCCAGGUGUCACCACUUGGUCCACGACAUUCUCCACGAUCACAGAGACAUCGUCAGAGAUCGGAGAGACAUUGUUGAGGAUGAGGGAGACAUCGUCCACGAUCAGAGACGUCGUCUGUGAUCACAGAGACCUUGUCAAAGACGAGAGAGACGUUGUCCAUGAUCAGAGACAUUGUCCCAUGCUUCGUAGAGCUCUGCGCAAGAGUCGGUAGUGACACUGUGGUUCCUCGAUUCGACGGCAUGACCGCGAUCAUGGAAACAUUGUCAAAGAUCACAGAGACAGCGUCUAUGAUCUCAGAGACAUCGUCCACGAUCACAAAGACAUUGUCCAUGAUCACAGAGACUUUGUCCAUAAUCUCAGAGACAUUGUCCGCGAUCUCAGAGACGUAGUCCACGAUCAGAGUCUUCGUACAGUGAAGAAGUUUUUCGAGACCAGGACAGAGGCCUCCAGGUGUCACCACUUGGUCCACGACAUUCUCCACGAUCACAGAGACAUCGUCAGAGAUCGGAGAGACAUUGUUGAGGAUGAGGGAGACAUCGUCCACGAUCAGAGACGUCGUCUGUGAUCACAGAGACCUUGUCAAAGACGAGAGAGACGUUGUCCAUGAUCAGAGGCAUUGUCCCAUGCUUCGUAGAGCUCUGCGCAAGAGUCGGUAGUGACACUGUGGUUCCUCGAUUCGACGGCAUGACCGCGAUCAUGGAAACAUUGUCAAAGAUCACAGAGACAGCGUCUAUGAUCUCAGAGACAUCGUCCACGAUCACAAAGACAUUGUCCAUGAUCACAGAGACUUUGUCCAUAAUCUCAGAGACAUUGUCCGCGAUCACAGUGAUGUAGUCCACGAUCAGAGUCUUCGUACAGUGAAAAAGUUCUUUGAGACCAGGACAGAGGCCUCCAGGUGUCACCACUUGGUCCACGACAUUCUCCACGAUCACAGAGACAUCGUCAGAGAUCGGAGAGACAUUGUUGAGGAUGAGGGAGACAUCGUCCACGAUCAGAGACGUCGUCUGUGAUCACAGAGACCUUGUCAAAGACGAGAGAGACGUUGUCCAUGAUCAGAGGCAUUGUCCCAUGCUUCGUAGAGCUCUGCGCAAGAGUCGGUAGUGACACUGUGGUUCCUCGAUUCGACGGCAUGACCGCGAUCAUGGAAACAUUGUCAAAGAUCACAGAGACCGCGUCUAUGAUCUCAGAGACAUCGUCCACGAUCACAAAGACAUUGUCCAUGAUCACAGAGACUUUGUCCAUAAUCUCAGAGACAUUGUCCGCGAUCUCAGAGACGUAGUCCACGAUCAGAGUCUUCGUACAGUGAAGAAGUUUUUCGAGACCAGGACAGAGGCCUCCAGGUGUCACCACUUUGUCCACAAUCAUAGAGAUGUCGUCCACGAUUGUAGAGACAUGGUCUAUGAUCGGAGAGACAUUGUUGAGGAUGAGGGAGACAUCGUCCACGAUCAGAGACGUCGUCUGUGAUCACAGAGACCUUGUCAAAGACGAGAGAGACGUUGUCCAUGAUCAGAGACAUUGUCCCAUGCUUCGUAGAGCUCUGCGCAAGAGUCGGUAGUGACACUGUGGUUCCUCGAUUCGACGGCAUGACCGCGAUCAUGGAAACAUUGUCAAAGAUCACAGAGACAGCGUCUAUGAUCUCAGAGACAUCGUCCACGAUCACAAAGACAUUGUCCAUGAUCACAGAGACUUUGUCCAUAAUCUCAGAGACAUUGUCCGCGAUCUCAGAGACGUAGUCCACGAUCAGAGUCUUCGUACAGUGAAGAAGUUUUUCGAGACCAGGACAGAGGCCUCCAGGUGUCACCACUUGGUCCACGACAUUCUCCACGAUCACAGAGACAUCGUCAGAGAUCGGAGAGACAUUGUUGAGGAUGAGGGAGACAUCGUCCACGAUCAGAGACGUCGUCUGUGAUCACAGAGACCUUGUCAAAGACGAGAGAGACGUUGUCCAUGAUCAGAGGCAUUGUCCCAUGCUUCGUAGAGCUCUGCGCAAGAGUCGGUAGUGACACUGUGGUUCCUCGAUUCGACGGCAUGACCGCGAUCAUGGAAACAUUGUCAAAGAUCACAGAGACAGCGUCUAUGAUCUCAGAGACAUCGUCCACGAUCACAAAGACAUUGUCCAUGAUCACAGAGACUUUGUCCAUAAUCUCAGAGACAUUGUCCGCGAUCACAGUGAUGUAGUCCAUGAUCAGAGUCUUCGUACAGUGAAAAAGUUCUUUGAGACCAGGACAGAGGCCUCCAGGUGUCACCACUUUGUCCACAAUCAUAGAGAUGUCGUCCACGAUUGUAGAGACAUGGUCUAUGAUCGGAGAGACAUUGUUGAGGAUGAGGGAGACAUCGUCCACGAUCAGAGACGUCGUCUGUGAUCACAGAGACCUUGUCAAAGACGAGAGAGACGUUGUCCAUGAUCAGAGACAUUGUCCCAUGCUUCGUAGAGCUCUGCGCAAGAGUCGGUAGUGACACUGUGGUUCCUCGAUUCGACGGCAUGACCGCGAUCAUGGAAACAUUGUCAAAGAUCACAGAGACAGCGUCUAUGAUCUCAGAGACAUCGUCCACGAUCACAAAGACAUUGUCCAUGAUCACAGAGACUUUGUCCAUAAUCUCAGAGACAUUGUCCGCGAUCUCAGAGACGUAGUCCACGAUCAGAGUCUUCGUACAGUGAAGAAGUUUUUCGAGACCAGGACAGAGGCCUCCAGGUGUCACCACUUGGUCCACGACAUUCUCCACGAUCACAGAGACAUCGUCAGAGAUCGGAGAGACAUUGUUGAGGAUGAGGGAGACAUCGUCCACGAUCAGAGACGUCGUCUGUGAUCACAGAGACCUUGUCAAAGACGAGAGAGACGUUGUCCAUGAUCAGAGGCAUUGUCCCAUGCUUCGUAGAGCUCUGCGCAAGAGUCGGUAGUGACACUGUGGUUCCUCGAUUCGACGGCAUGACCGCGAUCAUGGAAACAUUGUCAAAGAUCACAGAGACAGCGUCUAUGAUCUCAGAGACAUCGUCCACGAUCACAAAGACAUUGUCCAUGAUCACAGAGACUUUGUCCAUAAUCUCAGAGACAUUGUCCGCGAUCACAGUGAUGUAGUCCAUGAUCAGAGUCUUCGUACAGUGAAAAAGUUCUUUGAGACCAGGACAGAGGCCUCCAGGUGUCACCACUUUGUCCACAAUCAUAGAGAUGUCGUCCACGACUGUAGAGACAUGGUCUAUGAUCGGAGAGACAUUGUUGAGGAUGAGGGAGACAUCGUCCACGAUCAGAGACGUCGUCUGUGAUCACAGAGACCUUGUCAAAGACGAGAGAGACGUUGUCCAUGAUCAGAGACAUUGUCCCAUGCUUCGUAGAGCUCUGCGCAAGAGUCGGUAGUGACACUGUGGUUCCUCGAUUCGACGGCAUGACCGCGAUCAUGGAAACAUUGUCAAAGAUCACAGAGACAGCGUCUAUGAUCUCAGAGACAUCGUCCACGAUCACAAAGACAUUGUCCAUGAUCACAGAGACUUUGUCCAUAAUCUCAGAGACAUUGUCCGCGAUCUCAGAGACGUAGUCCACGAUCAGAGUCUUCGUACAGUGAAGAAGUUUUUCGAGACCAGGACAGAGGCCUCCAGGUGUCACCACUUGGUCCACGACAUUCUCCACGAUCACAGAGACAUCGUCAGAGAUCGGAGAGACAUUGUUGAGGAUGAGGGAGACAUCGUCCACGAUCAGAGACGUCGUCUGUGAUCACAGAGACCUUGUCAAAGACGAGAGAGACGUUGUCCAUGAUCAGAGGCAUUGUCCCAUGCUUCGUAGAGCUCUGCGCAAGAGUCGGUAGUGACACUGUGGUUCCUCGAUUCGACGGCAUGACCGCGAUCAUGGAAACAUUGUCAAAGAUCACAGAGACAGCGUCUAUGAUCUCAGAGACAUCGUCCACGAUCACAAAGACAUUGUCCAUGAUCACAGAGACUUUGUCCAUAAUCUCAGAGACAUUGUCCGCGAUCACAGUGAUGUAGUCCACGAUCAGAGUCUUCGUACAGUGAAAAAGUUCUUUGAGACCAGGACAGAGGCCUCCAGGUGUCACCACUUUGUCCACAAUCAUAGAGAUGUCGUCCACGAUUGUAGAGACAUGGUCUAUGAUCGGAGAGACAUUGUUGAGGAUGAGGGAGACAUCGUCCACGAUCAGAGACGUUGUCUGUGAUCACAGAGACCUUGUCAAAGACGAGAGAGACGUUGUCCAUGAUCAGAGACAUUGUCCCAUGCUUCGUAGAGCUCUGCGCAAGAGUCGGUAGUGACACUGUGGUUCCUCGAUUCGACGGCAUGACCGCGAUCAUGGAAACAUUGUCAAAGAUCACAGAGACAGCGUCUAUGAUCUCAGAGACAUCGUCCACGAUCAGAAAGACAUUGUCCAUGAUCACAGAGACUUUGUCCAUAAUCUCAGAGACAUUGUCCGCGAUCUCAGAGACGUAGUCCACGAUCAGAGUCUUCGUACAGUGAAUAAGUUUUUCGAGACCAGGACAGAGGCCUCCAGGUGUCACCACUUUGUCCACAAUCAUAGAGAUGUCGUCCACGAUUGUAGAGACAUGGUCUAUGAUCGGAGAGACAUUGUUGAGGAUGAGGGAGACAUCGUCCACGAUCAGAGACGUCGUCUGUGAUCACAGAGACCUUGUCAAAGACGAGAGAGACGUUGUCCAUGAUCAGAGACAUUGUCCCAUGCUUCGUAGAGCUCUGCGCAAGAGUCGGUAGUGACACUGUGGUUCCUCGAUUCGACGGCAUGACCGCGAUCAUGGAAACAUUGUCAAAGAUCACAGAGACAGCGUCUAUGAUCUCAGAGACAUCGUCCACGAUCACAAAGACAUUGUCCAUGAUCACAGAGACUUUGUCCAUAAUCUCAGAGACAUUGUCCGCGAUCUCAGAGACGUAGUCCACGAUCAGAGUCUUCGUACAGUGAAGAAGUUUUUCGAGACCAGGACAGAGGCCUCCAGGUGUCACCACUUUGUCCACAAUCAUAGAGAUGUCGUCCACGAUUGUAGAGACAUGGUCCAUGAUCGGAGAGACAUUGUUGAGGAUGAGGGAGACAUCGUCCACGAUCAGAGAUAUUGUCCAUGAUCGCAGAGACCUUGUCAAAGACGAGAGAGACGUUGUCCAUGAUCAGAGACAUUGUCCCAUGCUUCGUAGAGCUCUGCGCAAGAAUCGGUAGAGACGCUGUGGUUCCUCGAUUCGACGGCAUGACCGCGAUCAUGGAAACAUUGUCAAAGAUCACAGAGACAGCGUCUAUGAUCUCAGAGACAUCGUCCACGAUCACAAAGACAUUGUCCAUGAUCACAGAGACUUUGUCCAUAAUCUCAGAGACAUUGUCCGCGAUCACAGAGACGUAGUCCAUGAUCAUACAAUGAGGAAGUUCUUUGUGACCAGGACAGAGGCCUCCAGGCGGAGGAGGAGACCGCGUCACCUGAAGAGGACAACAAAUAUAGUUAAAUGUUCUUAAAAAUGUAUAUGACUUUGAUAAGAAUAGCUUCAUAUUUGCUCAUUACUACAUUAAAUGGUGGGUGAGGGAAUUAAACAGUGUUUCUAAGUGGUCAAACAUCUGUCAUUAUCUUUGCUGUGAAGAAUCAAUAAAGUUGUUGCUUAACUUUUGAG